GAUGAACGCUGGCUGUGUGCCUAAUACAUGCAUGUCGAACGAAGCACUUGUGCUUAGUGGCGAAUGGGUGAGUAACACGUACUUAAUCUACCCCGAAGUUUGGGACAACAAUUGGAAACGAUUGCUAAUACCGAAUAUUCCUUUCUAUCGCAUGAUAGAUUGGUAAAAGGAGCGUUUGCUCCGCUACGGGAUGAGAGUGCGGUACAUUAGUUAGUUGGUAGGGUAAUGGCCUACCAAGACGAUGAUGUAUAGCGGGGUUGAGAAGCUGAACCGCCACACUGGGACUGAGAUACGGCCCAGACUCCUACGGGAGGCAGCAGUAGGGAAUAUUCCACAAUGAGCGAAAGCUUGAUGGAGCGACACAGCGUGCAGGAUGAAGGUCUUCGGAUUGUAAACUGCUGUUAUAAGGGAAGAAACACCAGACUAGGAAAUGAGUUUGGCUUGACGGUACCUUAUCAGAAAGCACCGGCAAACUAUGUGCCAGCCGCC
rnacentral:rRNA from 1 species